rnacentral:misc_RNA from 1 species
AAAGUCGUAACAAGGUUUCCGUAGGUGAACCUGCGGAAGGAUCAUUAUUGAUGGUUUUGAAAGGAUGUGCUGGCUUCUGUUCGGGGGCAAUGUGCACUCCUUCAGAAAAUGCAAUUUUAUCCACCUGUGCACUCUCAGUAGGCAAUGGGGACCCUUCGCAAAGUCCCUUUGUCUAUGUUUUUUUUUUAACAAACACUUUGAACUAUUUGAAUGCCUUGUCAAAUAACAUAUUAUUGUCGUACAACUUUCAACAAUGGAUCUCUUGGUUCUC